AUACAAGCAUAAGAAAUGAGAAUGGUUGGGUGUUCGUGCAGUUGCAUGACAUGUGCUGCCCUGAAAGCUUGUUACCCAUGGGCACAUUACCCAUCUGACA